GCAUAUCAAUAAGYGGAGGAAAAGAACUAACAAGGAUUCCCCUAGUAACGGCGAGUGAAGCGGGAAGAGCUCAAAUUUGAAAUCUGGCAGUCUUCGAUUGUCCGAGUUGUAAUCUAUAGAGGCGUUUUCCGUGCCGGACCGUGUCCAAGUCUCCUGGAAAGGAGUAUCAAAGAGGGUGAUAAUCCCGUACUUAACACGACCACCGGUGCUCUGUGAUACGUCUUCUACGAGUCGAGUUGUUUGGGAAUGCAGCUCAAAAUGGGUGGUGAAUUCCAUCUAAAGCUAAAUAUUGGCGAGAGACCGAUAGCGAACAAGUACCGUGAGGGAAAGAUGAAAAGCACUUUGGAAAGAGAGUUAAACAGUACGUGAAAUUGUUGAAAGGGAAACGAUUGAAGUCAGUCGUGUUCUUUGGAUUCAGCCAGUUCUGCUGGUCUACUUCCUUGGAACGGGUCAACAUCAGUUUUGUCCGGUGGAUAAAGGUAGUAGGAAUGUGACUUCUCCGGAAGUGUUAUAGCCUAUUAUCACAUACACUGGGUGAGACUGAGGACUGCAGCUCGCCUUUAUGGCCGGCCUUCGGGCACGUUCGAGCUUAGGAUGUUGACAUAAUGGCUUUAAACGACCCGUCUUGAAACACGGACC
rnacentral:rRNA from 1 species